CACAAUGAUGAAUUAAUAAAUAAUCAAUGGGAAUCUCUCUGAAUAAGAAUGAAAGAGAACCUUUCUCUGAUCGUG